UGGGGAAUUUUGCACAAUGGGGGAAACCCUGAUGCAGCGACGCCGCGUGAUUUAGAAGGCCUUCGGGUUGUAAAAAUCUUUUUUAUGGGAUGAAAAUGACAGUACCAUAAGAAUAAGGUCCGGCUAAAUACGUGCCAGCAGCCGCGGUAAUACGUAUGGACCGAGCGUUGUCCGGAAUCAUUGGGCGUAAAGGGUACGUAGGCGGCCCAGUAAGUUAGAAGUGAAAUAAUAUAGCUCAACUAUAUAAAGCUUUUAAAACUGCUAGGCUUGAGAGAUGGAAGGGAAAGUGGAAUUCCUAGUGUAGCGGUGAAAUGCGCAGAUAUUAGGAAGAAUACCGGUGGCGAAGGCGACUUUAUGGGCCACGACUGACGCUGAGGCGCGAAAGCUAGGGGAGCGAACAGG
rnacentral:rRNA from 1 species